rnacentral:rRNA from 1 species
UGGGGAAUUUUGGACAAUGGGCGAAAGCCUGAUCCAGCAAUGCCGCGUGUGUGAAGAAGGCCUUCGGGUUGUAAAGCACUUUUGUCCGGAAAGAAAUCCUUGGCUCUAAUACAGUCGGGGGAUGACGGUACCGGAAGAAUAAGCACCGGCUAACUACGUGCCAGCAGCCGCGGUAAUACGUAGGGUGCAAGCGUUAAUCGGAAUUACUGGGCGUAAAGCGUGCGCAGGCGGUUUGCUAAGACCGAUGUGAAAUCCCCGGGCUCAACCUGGGAACUGCAUUGGUGACUGGCAGGCUAGAGUAUGGCAGAGGGGGGUAGAAUUCCACGUGUAGCAGUGAAAUGCGUAGAGAUGUGGAGGAAUACCGAUGGCGAAGGCAGCCCCCUGGGCCAAAUACUGACGCUCAUGCACGAAAGCGUGGGGAGCAAACAGGAUUAGAUACCCUGGUAGUCCACGCCCUAAACGAUGUCAACUAGUUGUUGGGGAUUCAUUUCCUAGUAACGUAGCUAACGCGUGAAGUUGACCGCCUGGGGGAGUACGGUCGCAAGAUUAAAACUCAAAGGAAUUGACGGGGU